rnacentral:tRNA from 1 species
CGUAGCUCAGUUGGAUAGAGCGUUCGCCUCCUAAGCGAAAGGUCGAGGGUUCGACUCCCUUCGA